AUACGAAAGGUGCAAGCGUUGUUCGGAUUUACUGGGCGUAAAGAGAGUGUAGGUUGUUUAUUAAGUCGGAUGUGAAAUCCCGGGGCUCAACCUCGGAACUGCAUUCGAUACUGGUAGACUAGAGUUCGGGAGGGGUAAGCGGAAUUCCGUGUGUAGCAGUGAGAUGCGUAGAUAUACGGAGGAACACCUGAGGCGAAGGCGGCUUACUGGACCGAUACUGACACUGAGACUCGAAAGCGUGGGUAGCAAACAGGAUUAGAAACCCCUGUAGUCC
rnacentral:rRNA from 1 species